CCCUUCAGAGGGGGACAACAGUUGGAAACGACUGCUAAUACCGCAUACGAUCUAACCUCGGCAUCGAGGAAAGAUGAAAGGUGGCCUCUAUGUAUAAGCUAUCACUGAAGGAGGGGAUUGCGUCUGAUUAGCUAGUUGGAGGGGUAACGGCCCACCAAGGCGAUGAUCAGUAGCCGGUCUGAGAGGAUGAACGGCCACAUUGGGACUGAGACACGGCCCAG
rnacentral:rRNA from 1 species